rnacentral:misc_RNA from 1 species
AAUGUUUUAUUGUGUUCCUCGUAUGACGAAACGCUUAUAAAGAUCAGAAUUCCUAUAUGGAAACAAUCUGUGGUACACCAAGUUACCUCGCUACCAAAAUGUUAAUCCCGUAGCCUGAAGAACGAUCCUACAAGAAAUCGUGUGUUAUAUGUUUGGUAUGCCAUAUACUUCAGUUUACUCAAAUUCACGUAGUGAACACGAUUUGUAAUGAAGCUGGAGCAGGCAAAUAACCCAUUGGAGAAACAAGUCAAAGAAGGGUCGUAUAAAUUUCCGAACAACCUCUGGAAGAAUGUUAGCAGUGAAGCUAAGGAUCUUAUAACAAAACUGCUUACUGUUGGUCACAGAAAAUGCAUCACGGUUUCAGAAGCUCUGGAACAUCCUUGGAUGAAGGAUAAAGAAAUGAUAGAAAAAGCAGAAAAAAUGAUAAAACCGACCGUGGAUGGAAGAUCAAUGUCUCCGCCCUUAUAAAAGCCUGCAAUAUUUACCUUGCUUGGUAUGUCAGUCCAUCAAA